rnacentral:rRNA from 1 species
UACGUAGGGUGCAAGCGUUAAUCGGAAUUACUGGGCGUAAAGCGUGCGCAGGCGGUUGUGCAAGACAGAUGUGAAAUCCCCGGGCUUAACCUGGGAAUUGCAUUUGUGACUGCACGGCUAGAGUGUGUCAGAGGGGGGUAGAAUUCCACGUGUAGCAGUGAAAUGCGUAGAUAUGUGGAGGAAUACCGAUGGCGAAGGCAGCCCCCUGGGCCUGCAUUGACGCUGAGGUACGAAAGCGUGGGGAGCAAACAGG